UUCCGGUUGAUCCUGCCGGAGGCGACCGCUAUUGGAGUUCGAUUAAGCCAUGCGAGUCGAGAGCUUUCGGAGCUCGGCAUACUGCUCAGUAACACGUGGAUAACCUGCCCUGUGCUCCGGGAUAACCUCGGGAAACUGAGAAUAAUACCGGAUAGUCCACCACGCCUGGAACGGUGGGUGGAUCAAAGGUCACGGCACAGGAUGGGUCUGCGGCGUAUCAGGUUGUAGGGGGUGUAAAGGACCCCCUAGCCAUUGACGCGUACGGGUUGUGGGAGCAAUCGCCCGGAGAUGGAUUCUGAGACACGAAUCCAGACCCUACGGGGUGCAGCAGGCGCGAAAACUUCACACUGCAGGAAACUGUGAUGAGGGAACUCCAAGUGCAUGCACAAUGUGUAUGCUUUUCCUUACUUUUAAUCGGUUUGGGAAUAAGGGCUGGGAAAGACCGGUGCCAGCCGCCGCGGUAAUACCGGCAGCUCAAGUGGUCGUCGCUUUUAUUGGGCCUAAAACGUCCGUAGCCUGUUUGGUAAAUCUGUGGGUAAAUCAACCAGCUUAACUGGUUGAAUUCUGCAGAGACUGCCAGACUAGGGACCGGGAGAGGUGUGGGGUACUCUCGGGGUAGGGGUAAAAUCCUGUCAUCCUGGGAGGACCACCAGUUGCGAAGG
rnacentral:rRNA from 1 species